UGGGGAAUAUUGCACAAUGGGGGAAACCCUGAUGCAGCGACGCCGCGUGAGUGAAGAAGUAUCUCGGUAUGUAAAGCUCUAUCAGCAGGGAAGAAAAUGACGGUACCUGACUAAGAAGCCCCGGCUAACUACGUGCCAGCAGCCGCGGUAAUACGUAGGGGGCAAGCGUUAUCCGGAUUUACUGGGUGUAAAGGGAGCGUAGACGGCGGAGCAAGUCUGAAGUGAAAGCCCGGGGCUCAACCCCGGGACUGCUUUGGAAACUGUUCUGCUAGAGUGCUGGAGAGGUAAGUGGAAUUCCUAGUGUAGCGGUGAAAUGCGUAGAUAUUAGGAGGAACACCAGUGGCGAAGGCGGCUUACUGGACAGUAACUGACGUUGAGGCUCGAAAGCGUGGGGAGCAAACAGG
rnacentral:rRNA from 1 species